GGCGAGGGGAGUGAAAAAGAACCUGAAACCGUGUACGUACAAGCAGUGGGAGCACCCUUCGGGGUGUGACUGCGUACCUUUUGUAUAAUGGGUCAGCGACUUAUAUUCUGUAGCAAGGUUAACCGUAUAGGGGAGCCGGAGGGAAACCGAGUCUUAAUUGGGCGUUAAGUUGCAGGGUAUAGACCCGAAACCCGGUGAUCUAGCCAUGGGCAGGUUGAAGGUUGGGUAACACUAACUGGAGGACCGAACCGACUAAUGUUGAAAAAUUAGCGGAUGACCUGUGGCUGGGGGUGAAAGGCCAAUCAAACCGGGAGAUAGCUGGUUCUCCCCGAAAGCUAUUUAGGUAGCGCCUCGUGAAUUCAUCUCCGGGGGUAGAGCACUGUUUCGGCUAGGGGGCCAUCCCGGCUUACCAACCCGAUGCAAACUGCGAAUACCGGAGAAUGUUAUCACGGGAGACACACGGCGGGUGCUAACGUCCGUCGUGAAGAGGGAAACAACCCAGACCGCCAGCUAAGGUCCCAAAGUCAUGGUUAAGUGGGAAACGAUGUGGGAAGGCCCAGACAGCCAGGAUGUUGGCUUAGAAGCAGCCAUCAUUUAAAGAAAGCGUAAUAGCUCACUGGUCGAGUCGGCCUGCGCGGAAGAUGUAACGGGGCUAAACCAUGCACCGAAGCUGCGGCAGCGAACGUAUCACCCAAGACAACUUUACGGAGUUGACGAUUGACGGAGCGAAGCGACGUCAAAGCGUUCAUUAAAGUCGAGUUGGCUUAGGGAUACGUUCGUUGGGUAGGGGAGCGUUCUGUAAGCCUGUGAAGGUGUGUCGUGAGGCAUGCUGGAGGUAUCAGAAGUGCGAAUGCUGACAUAAGUAACGAUAAAGCGGGUGAAAAGCCCGCUCGCCGGAAGACCAAGGGUUCCUGUCCAACGUUAAUCGGGGCAGGGUGAGUCGACCCCUAAGGCGAGGCCGAAAGGCGUAGUCGAUGGGAAACGGGUUAAUAUUCCCGUACUUGGUGUUACUGCGAAGGGGGGACGGAGAAGGCUAUGUUGGCCGGGCGACGGUUGUCCCGGUUUAAGCGUGUAGGUGUGUGUUCCAGGUAAAUCCGGUUCACUUUAACACUGAGGCGUGACGACGAGGCACUACGGUGCUGAAGCAACAAAUGCCCUGCUUCCAGGAAAAGCCUCUAAGCAUCAGGUAACAUCAAAUCGUACCCCAAACCGACACAGGUGGUCAGGUAGAGAAUACCAAGGCGCUUGAGAGAACUCGGGUGAAGGAACUAGGCAAAAUGGUGCCGUAACUUCGGGAGAAGGCACGCUGACACGUAGGUGAAGU
rnacentral:rRNA from 1 species